GAAAUGCGUCGGGAACAUUAUGGAGUGAAAAUCUUUGUGAUUCUUGUGAUCACAGAGUGUCUUUUCUUUUCUUUCUCCUCAUCAGAUUCAGAGAUGUCCUGUCAUUUCAUGCAGAGCUGCAUCCUCCCCUGUAGUUUAGAUAAUGGAGAUGAAUUAAUCAUCCACUGGUUUUAUAUGAAAGGAGACCUAAAUGUUCACUCCUUCUACCAAAACCAAGACCAGCUGGGAAACCAGAACCAGCGCUUUAGAAACAGAACCUCACUAUUCAAGGACCAGAUUCCCAGAAAUAACUUCUCACUGAAACUAACAGGAGUGAAGCUUCAGGAUGAAGGCAGAUAUCAUUGUCUCAAGAGCUCCACCAAAGGAUUCAAUGAGUUAUUUAUCAACCUGAAAGUUGAUGCUCCAGUUUCUGACAUCAGGAUCCAUCAGGAUGGAAACAGGAUCACCUGCAGCUCAGAGGGGAUCUACCCUCAACCUGAACUCACCUGGUCCACUGAGCCUCCAUCCAGCACGACUCUGAAUGAAACUACCAGGAUCCAGAAAACUGAAGAUCAACUUUACAACGUCAGCAGCUCUCUGACGGGUCCAGAUGGUCCAGAUCGGAUCUACAGCUGCAGCAUCAGAACCAGGAGGAACCAGAGGAGAGCAACGUUCAGGGAACAAUCAGUGACCAGCGCCCCCUACAGGACAACAACCCUCCACUGCUCUGACUCCAACUCGUCUGCAGCCAGCCUGGUCUGGAGGUUCAACGAUCAGAUCAUCCUGAGUCAGACGGAGCCCAGCGUCUCCCCCAGAGUCUCAGAGGCCUGGAGGAAACAUGUGAAGGUCGAGUCAAGGUCAGGAAGCCUCACCUUACAGGAUAUGACAUCACAGCGGGAGGGGGUCUACACCUGCGAACUCAGCAACAAAGAUGAGACGAUUAUUACAAAGACCUGUGUGAGGAUCAACCAAGAGAGUCGAACUCAUCAUCAGAUCAGCAUCAUCAUCGGUGUUGUUGUUGUUGUUGGUGUUUUUAUUGUUGCAGCAAUAAUCAUAUGGAAGAAAUGCUGUAGAAAUGGUAAAAUAGCAAAUUGAUUGAUUUCUGUAUUUCAAUAAUCUGUUUCUCACUAAUAGUAUUUUCUCAUCUCCACAGCAGGAGGAGCUUAAGCUGCAAAAGAUGUUGAACUUCAGAGUCCUGAAAGUUCACAUGAAGCUGCAGCUGAAUGACGACUCUGCUGUCCUGGAUUUUAAUAAGUGAUGUUUUGUCAAAAUAAGACAAUAAUUUUUACCAAAAUAAUUACCAUGGAUCUUUGGCUUAAUCUAUAAAGAGGGAAGGAGGAAGCAACAGUCGAUUGUUCACAAUAAAAAUUCAGAUUUAGUGUUUUGGAUAGAACUAUCCUGACGUGUCCUAUCAGAGAAAUGAGCUGCGCAGUGGAGCAGAGGGUAGAAAUGUUGCCUCCCAUCAGGAAGGUUCUGGGUUUGAAUCCUGAGUCUGUUCUCCCUGUCAGGUUCUUCCUGGGUACUCCAGCUUCCUCCCACUGACCAGAAACAUGAGGUGGUGUGUGUCUCCGUGUGUGUGUGUGUGUGUGUGUGUGUGUGUGUGUGUGUGUGUGUGUGUGUGUGUAGUUGCCCUGUACUAUGAUGAACUGCUGACCUAAAACCAAUGUUUUCUUUAUAUCACGUCAGUAUUAAACCAGUUGGGUUUAAAAAGGAAAACUUAACAUGUUUUAAAUUUUAAAACAAUUUAAAUAUUUCAACAUUAUGAGUAAAAUAAAAACUUGGCAAAAUGUUGACAAAGUUGCAUUAAAUUCACUGAUUCAAUUUAUACCCAAAACCGCAAUAAAUUUCUUUGUAAAAUCUAGUUGAAGUUUUUAUAAUUUGUUGAAUUAUUUUCUUUUCCUGAAAUGUUGUGAUUAUUUUCUCAUUAAUGUGUUUUAAUAUCAAGUUGUUUUGUCCUGUUACUGAAGAUUUGAUGAAUGUAGCUUUUAAUUUAGAACAAAUGAUCGACUCCUGAAGUACAAAUGGUGCAAAUAUUUUCUUUUAUUAUUCUGUACAUGUAAAAUGAUAUGUGGCUUUAACUAAAGUGUAUUUUUCUUCA